rnacentral:sRNA from 1 species
GGGGUUCUGCCUCGCUCGUGCUGCUUUUUCCGGACCGUAAAGAAUUCCAGAGGGAUCUCGCGUUCGGGCGAUGAUAUCACGCUUUUCGAAGUAGAUAGAUUCGUUCGAUAGAGAACCCACCUAUGUAAUAGGUCCCCGGGAAUUUCAAAUAACGGCGAAGGCGGUUCCCCG